rnacentral:lncRNA from 1 species
GCUCUUAUAUUAUGUGACGGAGGGACUACUUCAUUACUUUAUGUCUUGGCCUUCUGUAAUUUUGUCUGUAGGGCUUUGCUUGGUAGCGUUUAGUUUAAAUAGUUUUUGGUGAAUGCGCUGCUCACAUAUUGCCUUCUAUUUCUUCUGAAAGGUGCUAACAUUGCUUUGGGUGAUCCUCUAUCCAGACUGUAGAAAAGCUUGUCGAUAUCGUCUUUUUUCUGGAUAUACAAAUCCGGGAUGCAUUCGGUGAAGCUGGUCAUUAUUUAUUGAUUGGCUGCUUUAUUGUUUGGACAAAAAUGUAUCUGAUAAUUUCCUGAUACAACUCCCUGAAUAAACAGUUCCUGUAGGUACCGACUUCAUGGAGCAAGGUCAGAACAAAAGGCUAGGUUCAUGUGGUCUGCCACUACAUUAUGCUAACAUCAUCAAUCAAACUGAAAAUAUAGCAAGUAAAUUUGACGACUCACAUGAUGUUUAUCAUGCCUGCUUAAUGCCCGAAUUUCCUUAAUGUAGUCAAUUUCCAUAUGGCCUCUUAUAUAUGUAGGUAACUGUUCAGUUUUGUUGAUGAACCAUGCAUUUAUUUAUUUCCCUGUUAUUUUGUCUGAAUAGCAAUCAUAGCUUGCCAUUCUAUAGAAACGCUCUCUCUCAAUGCCGAUUUAGUUCUAGGACUGAAGUAGCAAGCACCGACACUCUGGGAGCUAGCAAGAUAUGUUUCUCCUCUCCACAUUCUGAAGAUUUAUUAUUUUUCUGAGUCAAGCAUGUGUUUGAAAGUAGGAACCUACAAGUUUCCUAUUUUCUCCAGAGUAACUAGUACUUUUUUUGGUUUCCCCAGUAGAUUAAAAAUGUGCCUAUUUUCAAACACAUGCUUAACUCCUUUUAUUCUGAGUCAACAAGCAACCCUGUUUCUUAAACAAUUCUGCAGCUACUACUUAAACUUUGCACACAGUUGGACAAACAUCAUGGAUUAAUAAGAGGGAUCACACAACUAUAUGUUCAGCAAACCAACAUUCUUUUAUUUUGAGCAACCUAUAUUCAUUUCAGGAAAUGAUUUAUGUGCCUGCAAAUUCUUCUUCUUUUUGUUGAAUCAACACUUUUUUCUAAAACCAAGCAGCAGAUUUAAUCAGAGGGCUGUUCAGUUGGUAUACAUUCUCAUAAUUAUUGAUUCUCACUGUCUAGCACUAGUACACACUUAUAUAGAUCAAACAUGUACAAAAAAGUAGAACGGAGGACACCCUGCGUUGCCACUAGAUUGCUAGUAAUUAAUCCUUACCUACAGUUUUUGGAUGUUGUAUUAACUUGAUAGCAAUCAAGAGAAAUCAAUACACCAAAAGAAGAUGACUACUGGUAAAUAUUUAUAGUGAUAGGUUAUAUUGAUCUUUCUGAUGAUCCAUACAUAGUGCGUAAUCUGUUCUUAUGAGUACAUACACACAAUCUAUUUGUGCCUUGUGAAAUGCAAAGUACAAGGCGACACACAUGUGUCUUUUUCAUUUGGAUUAGCCAAUUUUCUUUUUCAGCCAUGCAACUUCUAUGUUUGGAACAUGUGUUCUACUGAGCUGAUCUAUUUGGCUAUUUCCUUCUUUUUACAGGUCACCAGUAUAAUGCCUUUGCAUCCACAAGUUUGUAGAGGUGUGUUUGUUGAGCUAAAAGGAUCUUCUGCUGGGAUAUUUUUCUACCUAAAAGCAGAUCUUAUAUUUUGCGCUUUUGUCUAUGAUGUAAUACUGGCAUAUGAACGUACAUAUGUAUGCAUGUAGACCUGAUGGAUGGUUGUGCUUUUGGCUUGUCCUGUUUCUGGACUUGUAUGCCUAUGUGUGCAUGUAGGCAUCCAUGAUGGAUCUUUCUGCUCUUGGAUGUCCUGCACUUGUGAACCUAUGUAUGGAUGAUAGAUUGAUUACAUAUAAAUGCACACAUUUUCUAUUAUGUGAUGCAAUCUUAAUUACUGUAUGCAUGUGUGUUAUAUCUAGA